rnacentral:rRNA from 1 species
GACAGAGGGUGCAAACGUUGUUCGGAAUUACUGGGCGUAAAGCGCGUGUAGGCAGCUUGGCAAGUCGGGUGUGAAAGCCCUGGGCUCAACCUAGGAAGUGCACUCGAAACUGCUUCGCUUGAGUAUCGGAGAGGAAAGCGGAAUUCUCGGUGUAGAGGUGAAAUUCGUAGAUAUCGAGAGGAACACCAGUGGCGAAGGCGGCUUUCUGGACGAUUACUGACGCUGAGACGCGAAAGCGUGGGGAGCAAACAGG